GAUGAACGCUGGCGGCGUGCUUAACACAUGCAAGUCGAACGGAAAGGCCACAGCUUGCUGUGGUACUCGAGUGGCGAACGGGUGAGUAACACGUGGGUGAUCUGCCCUGUACUUCGGGAUAAGCUUUGGAAACUGGGUCUAAUACCGGAUAUGAAUCACUUGUGGGUGUGUGGUUGGAAAGCUUUUGCGGUAUGGGAUGAGCUCGCGGCCUAUCAGCUUGUUGGUGGGGUAAUGGCCUACCAAGGCGUCGACGGGUAGCCGGCCUGAGAGGGUGUACGGCCACAUUGGGACUGAGAUACGGCCCAGACUCCUACGGGAGGCAGCAGUGGGGAAUAUUGCACAAUGGGCGCAAGCCUGAUGCAGCGACGCCGCGUGGGGGAUGACGGCCUUCGGGUUGUAAACUCCUUUCGUCAGGGACGAAGCGAAAGUGACGGUACCUGGAUAAGAAGCACCGGCUAACUACGUG
rnacentral:rRNA from 1 species